GCCCUUAUUCACUAACUGUUGAAAUCUUGGUUGCUGGGCACUACUAUCAUGAAUGAAUUGUAGCAUCCUUGACCUCCGCAACAACUCUCACAAUAAUAGGUUUACCAGCUUGUCUUUUUUUGCUUACUGUUUUCUGAUUCUUUCCUGUUUUUAGUCAUCGACAGUGUAAUUUCUUUGUCUACUUUGCACCGACAGGCAUUUCAUAAUGUUUGCGCACUUUUCUUAUUAUAGAAUUAUUCCGCGGUAAUAAUUACUUACUAUGCUCUCACUUUUGUUUAAUUUUGUCAAGUUCUCUGCAGUAUUUCUGUGCUUUGUUUCUCAUUAUGGAAUGUUAGCUUUUGACUAAAUCAUCUGCAAGAUUUUCUUCUCAUUAUUUUAUUUUAAUAUUAAUCUUUCACCCAACAGUACACCAUAGGAGAUAAAUCACGUGAAACUCAAGAGAUGGUGCUUAUAGAAGUACUUUUUUGUUCAUGUCUGGACUUAAUUAUGUAGGUUGACAUGGUGGUUUAGGAGGUGAUGUAAUUUUAUAAUUUUCCCUCUUCAAUUUGGGACGUCAACGAUUUGUAACCUCACAUUGUAAGUAAUCAUUUUGUUACAAAUAUUUUCAAACAUAUAGAUUUGGGUCUUCUAGCAUUAAGAGAUCUCAUUCCUAAUCAUGUUAUCCAGGAGAAUAUGAUAAAGGAGGGUCAUGGAGUCUCAAAGAAUAUGAUUGGAAAUCCAAGGGAAGAUAGAAGAUAAGGUGUUAACUUUACUUUUUGUUAACCUGCAAGGAUUUUUAAUAAUCUUUCUGGUGUUUGACUAUUUAUUUUAAAGUUACCAUGCAACAGUUCAUUAAAGGAAUAAUUUUGUGGUAGGUUGUUCAAGUAAUUUUUGAUGCAGAGAAGAGCAGUGGUUGGUAUUUUUUGCCUUGCAUGACAUUGCUGAUUCCAGAUCGUUUCUUCAUCAUGGUCUUCACCUUAGUUUGUUGUUAAGAGGACCCACUUUUUGUUUAGGAAGAAACAUGGGCCUCUUGGUCCCUCCAGUUCGAAGGCCAGUUUCCCCUACUCUGCACCACCGCAUCAGUUCAGGUCUUUUUCCCAUGCACUUCUUCAUUUUUGCGUGCACGAAAUGCUUUGGAUUGUAGAUAUAUAGCUUUGCGAAUUAGCUGAGGCAUUAUGGUUCCUUAAUUGUAGUGAUAAAAGAUUUGAGGUGAGGUUAGAAGGUGAUUAUAUAGAAUCAGAGCAUGGCUCCAUCAUUUUGCACGGGUGGGAAGUUAUAAUUACCUGGUGUCAAAUUCUGUCCAACAAGGUGAUGAUGCAGAUGAACUACUUUUCAGGCGCAUCGUAUCUCUUUAAUUUUUCUUCUUUUCUAUAUCAAUGGAUCAUACUUCAAAUUAAAUUAAUGACAUGGGUAUCGAGCGAUUUUAGUGUUUUCUCCUAUUGACAUUGUUCUGUGGUGUUUCAAGUUAGAAUUCUUAACAGGUUGAGUUUCUUUUUGCCACUCAAACCAUGCAUAAAGCCCUGAUGAUUUCCGAACGAUCACACACACAAAGUUUUGGAAAAACCAAGUGCAUCCUUCGACUUUCCAGCUGUUUGCAAGCUGCUAAUGUAGAUAGACAACACAACAGUGAGGAGGCGUAGUGAGUUGGUGCAAAAGUAAGCGAGUUCUUCAGAAAAACUUGGGAGUUCAGAUCUCAGCUGUUACAUCCUCCAGUUCGUAGCAUAACUCCAUUUCGUGUAUGAUUAUAGCUAUUCUCUGAAUGAUUUUAAGUUUCUUUUUUAUAUAGAUGCGGUGGAGAUUCUUCUAAAUAAAUAGUGUGAUGUGAUCAUAAUAUUCCUGCGAGAUAAUAUACCUGUCCUUUUAUUUUCUAAAAAAGAAUUCUAGUGUUACUUUAUAGUUCUUUCUUUUUCCUCGUGUAAUCCUAGACAUGGCCAAAAUUCAACAAGUCCCUUGAAAGGAUUUAUUCGAA